rnacentral:rRNA from 1 species
GAUGAACGCUAGCGGCAGGCCUAACACAUGCAAGUCGAGGGAGAAGCCCUUUCGGGGGCAGAAACCGGCGCACGGGUGCGUAACGCGUAUGCAACCUACCUUUCACAGGGGGAUAGCCCGAAGAAAUUUGGAUUAAUACCCCAUAAUAUUAUUGGAUGGCAUCAUUUGAUAAUUAAAGCUACGACGGUGAAAGAUGGGCAUGCGUCCUAUUAGCUAGUUGGAGUGGUAACGGCACCCCAAGGCUACGAUAGGUAGGGGUCCUGAGAGAGAGAUCCCCCACACUGGUACUGAGACAGGGACCAGACUCCUACGGGAGGCAGCAGUGAGGAAUAUUGGUCAAUGGUCGUAAGACUGAACCAGCCAUGCCGCGUGCAGGAAGAAUGCCUUAUGGGUUGUAAACUGCUUUUAUAUGGGAAGAAUAAGGUGUACGAGUACAUGANGACGNUNCCA